rnacentral:rRNA from 1 species
UUGGAGGGCAAGUCUGGUGCCAGCAGCCGCGGUAAUUCCAGCUCCAAUAGCGUAUAUUAAAGUUGUUGCAGUUAAAAAGCUCGUAGUUGAAUUUCGGGGUCAGUAGGUUGGUCGUGCCACUGGUACGUACUGGUCUCACUGAUUCCUCCUUCCUGAUGAACCGUAAUGCCAUUAAUUUGGUGUUGCGGGGAAACUGGACUGUUACUUUGAAAAAAUUAGAGUGUUUAAAGCAGGCUAACGCUUGAAUACAUUAGCAUGGAAUAAUGAAAUAGGACGUUCGAUCCUAUUUUGUUGGUUUCUAGGAUUGACGUAAUGAUUAAUAGGGAUAGUUGGGGGCAUUAGUAUUCAAUUGUCAGAGGUGAAAUUCUUGGAUUUAUUGAAGACUAACUACUGCGAAAGCAUUUGCCAAGGAUGUUUUCAUUAAUCAAGAACGAAAGUUAGGGGAUCGUAGACGAUCAGAUACCGUCGUAGUCUUAACCAUAAACUAUGCCGACUAGGGAUCGGAUGAUGUUAAUUUUUUAAUGACUCAUUCGGCGCCUUACGGGAAAC